UACGUAGGGGGCUAGCGUUGUCCGGAUUUAUUGGGCGUAAAGAGCGUGUAGGCGGCCAGGUAGGUCUGGUGUGAAAACUCGAGGCUUAACCUCGAGAUGUCAUCGGAAACCAUCUGGCUAGAGUCCGGAAGAGGAGAGUGGAAUUCCUGGUGGUAGCGGUGGAAUGCGCAGAUAUCAGGAGGAACACCGGUGGCGAAGGCGGGUCUCUGGGCCGAGAUUGACGCUGAGGAGCGAAAGCGUGGGGAGCGAACAGG
rnacentral:rRNA from 1 species